GCCAUGGUAACCAGGGACUCAGACUCCUCGAGGAUGAAGGGCCGGGUCACCCUGCCAGGGAACAACCAGUACCAGUGCCACCUAGCCAAAGGUGAGGGGUAGAGGAGGGCUAUGAGAAGAUCAGUUUCUUCUCCAAACCAGCUGUAGCAGCUAAGGCAGCUCCAGAGCCCUGAGGACCAUGCCAGAAGGAACCACAGGGCUCGCUUUGAAGCAAAAGCAUACCAAGGCCUGGGCGCACAAGACAUGCCCAGAAACAACAGUAAGAAAAGGAGAUCUAGAACAGUCAUCUUACAGACGUCAGAAGACGCCACCCCCCCUCCCAUCCCCAGUUUCGGUUCUCAUUAGCUGUGUGGCUUUAGGUCAUUUCUUUUUUCUCUAUUGUCCUUGACAUCCUCAUUAAAGGGUCUCAAAGUUCCUUCCAGCUCUAAAAACCCUAUUUGUUUGAGUGGUAUUAUUUGGAGGACCUAAAGCCAGCCCAGAAAUCACCCACAGGCAUAUACAGUCACCCUAUACCCAACCUGACCCAGGAAGCUUUGAACACAGUGUGCCCUCUCACCCACCAUGCCCCAGCCCCA